rnacentral:sRNA from 1 species
UGGUAGAUGCACCCUGAUAACCCACUCCCUGCUAGUUUUUGCUAGUGGGGAAUUUUUUU